GGGGUAAUGGGAGAAGUCACUGUAGGACCAGAUUUAACUCCUGAUUUGAAUGCCUGUAGUAGUUGGGGUUCGGGUUUCUUCUUUUAGAACAAGGAGGGAAGAAAAGGAGGGAAUGAGCUAUUCCUGCAGACAGUCCUGAAGGAGGAAACGCUCAAAUCUUGGAGCACGAUAAAAACAUAUCUGCACCCAUUUUAACAGCCCUUCACUUUGUCAGAUCAUGCCCUUGUGUUACGGGAAUCGCACACGCUGCAAUCAGCAGGCAAGCGGAACACACAAAUAUUUCUGAAGGACGACGUGCUGAAUGGUGUAGAUACUCCUGUGAAUGACCAAUCUGUGAGAAACAUAUUGAAAGGAUGUGGAUUGUCUCUCAGCUCUGAUUGGAAGAAGAAGGAAGAAAAAUGAUGGUUUUUAUCAGAUUUUAAUAAAGUUGUGUUGGCGGUUGUA